UACGUAGGGGGCGAGCGUUGUCCGGAAUUACUGGGCGUAAAGGGCACGCAGGCGGUCUGCUAAGUUUGGAGUGACAGUACCCGGCUCAACCGGGUGAGGCCUUCAAAGACUGGUGGACUUGAGGACUAGAGAGGGACAUAGAAUUCCGGGUGGAGUGGUGAAAUGCGUAGAUAUCCGGAGGAAUACCAAAGGCGAAGGCAGUGUCCUGGCUAGUAACUGACGCUGAGAUGCGAAAGCUAGGGGAGCGAACAGG
rnacentral:rRNA from 1 species